ensembl:lncRNA
UGGUCUCCUUUUCUUGGCCUCUCCAGUGCUUAGCAGACGAUUAAUUUUCCCCGUUUCUGUCACUAUCCCCAGCUGAUUGUGAACCCUGUGAUAACAGCAGCCGAGCUCGCGUGCUCUGCAUCUCAGAGCUGCAGGACAGGCCGGUGGUCUGCAGCCAGAGCCGCCUGCCUGGUGGCCUUGACCACCCCCAGCCAAGCAGUGCGGUGGCAGAACAGCACUUGGAUGGAAGCCUACGGAGAAGUCCUGUGUGCUGCAAGAAGUACAGUUGGUGAUUCAGCUGGAAGUGCUUUUUAGUAAUGAACGCAUGUCCCGGGCCUGGGCUGAUGCCAACACUGUGAUUGUUGUUGGAAGUUAACAAAGAUGCAAAGCCCUUUGUGCAGGAGCUGAAGUGAUAAUCCAGAUCUCCUGGCCUCAGCCCACGGGGGGUGAUCGCUGCCUUCCUGGGAAGGGUUUUUGCCAGUCCCUAUCGGAUGGAUCGCCCGCGCUUCCUGUGCCACGGCAGCAUGUGACCCAAUGGAGCCAGAACCAGGAGCCCGAAGACCACGCUGCGGGUGCUGAGAGCUGCCUUUCCUGUCUGCUUCAGUCCUAUGCUCAGCCACAGCGAGGUUAAGUGCAGCAGAACAGAACUGCCUAAAGUGGAAAUGGGCUGGGACCGGAGAGCGGAGACUUGCCGCCCUAGAGACCUCCACUGGGCUGCGGCGAGAGGAGCGUGGGACCUCUGUUUCCAUCAAACCUGGUGCUGCCGCAAGCCCAGCACGAGGGAGGAAGGAGCCUGCCCUGCCUUCAGAGGAUGCUCUGAACUGAUGCUGGUCAGACAUGGGGUUGUUAUAGGAUGGUGAGUGCUGCUGUGGUGCCUGCGGUCAGGAUUCAUCUGGGACCAGGAUGUUCAGGCAGAGCUGGAGGGGAAAGGAUGCCCAAACAGCCCUACAUUCACAAUUGUCAUGGCGCUUGCCUGAGCUCUGACCCCUCCUUCCAGCUCUGAACCAGGGUACAAAGCCUCAGAAAUUCUCCUGGAAACCGUUUUCACCAUUUGCAAUCCACCAUAGUGUCUGUGUCAGGCCCUAGGGUGAUUUUAAGACCUGCAUGGGCUGCCCAUCUCUGUCCAAUGCUGUAGUUCCAGCUGUCUUAAAGCUCCCAAAUGAGUUGAACUUGUUUGUGAAAUGUGCCCUGGGCUCUAGACCCUGAUGUUCCCAAGGGAGAGCAAACAAGGAGGUGAAAGCUGGACCCUGGAUCUGAAGUGAAAGCUGCCUGCAGCAGAUACCUGUGUGCUUCCUCCCUCAGGCUCCCAAGAAAGUUUCCUUUCCUUCACAAAGGGGAGCAGCUUGCUCUACACUGCCAGCUGGAGCUUCCUUCCCAUGGGGGAAGCUGAGACACUGAUACCUGAUGUUGAGGGCAAUUUCAAAUCAUCAGCCCGAGCACCGCUCUUAACGCACGCGACCUUCAGCACUUGGCGUAAGAGUUGGCAUUGCAAUAUGUUACAGGCGUGGACGGUGGCAGAGUGAUCAAAAUCCACUGAGCCAAGCAGUAGUUCCCUCUGACCCCAUUUGCGCAGCCUGUUUCUUCUGAUCUUUCCUCCGGACUGAGGCCCCAGGGAGUGCUAUGGAAUAUCAUGGAGUGGUGGCAGGGCUGAGUGGAUAAAGCUGUGCGGGGUGUGUGUUGGGGCGUGGAUUGCCGGUUUGUAGGGUAGAGAGUGUUUUGGUUUUUUUUUUCCAUUUAUACAGCACCUUGCAUGCCGAGAUCCUUGUCUAAGACUCGAGCUCCUGGGCGCUGUGACCCAAUGAGUUAUAACCGUGUCAUCUUUGAAGUGCUGCUCCCUGUUUUUCUGCCUCACCUCCUCGC